rnacentral:rRNA from 1 species
AUGAACGCUGGCGGCGUGCCUCAUAUCUGCCAGUCGAGCGAACGGACGAGAAGCUUGCUUCUCUGAUGUUAGCGGCGGACGGGUGAGUAACACGUGGAUAACCUACCUAUAAGACUGGGAUAACUUCGGGAAACCGGAGCUAAUACCGGAUGAUAUUUUGAACCGCAUGGUUCAAAAGUGAAAGACGGCCUUGCUGUCACUUAUAGAUGGAUCCGCGCUGCAUUAGCUAGUUGGUAAGGUAACGGCUUACCAAGGCAACGAUGCAUAGCCGACCUGAGAGGGUGAUCGGCCACACUGGAACUGAGACACGGUCCAGACUCCUACGGGAGGCAGCAGUAGGGAAUCUUCCGCAAUGGGCGAAAGCCUGACGGAGCAACGCCGCGUGAGUGAUGAAGGUCUUCGGAUCGUAAAACUCUGUUAUUAGGGAAGAACAUAUGUGUAAGUAACUGUGCACAUCUUGACGGUACCUAAUCAGAAAGCCACGGCUAACUACGUG